GUACCUACGGGGGGCAGCAGUAGGGAAUAUUGCUCAAUGGGGGAAACCCUGAAGCAGCAACGCCGCGUGGAGGAUGAAGGGUUUCGGAUUGUAAACUCCUUUUGUUAGAGAAGAUAAUGACGGUAUCUAACGAAUAAGCACCGGCUAACUACGUGCAAGCAGCCGCGGUAAUACGGAGGGUGCAAGCGGUACUCGGAAUCACUGGGCGUAAAGAGAGCGUAGGCGGGAUAGC
rnacentral:rRNA from 1 species